UGGGGAAUAUUGCACAAUGGGCGCAAGCCUGAUGCAGCAACGCCGCGUGAGGGACGACGGCCUUCGGGUUGUAAACCUCUUUUAGCAGGGAAGAAGCGAAAGUGACGGUACCUGCAGAAAAAAGCACCGGCUAACUACGUGCCAGCAGCCGCGGUAAUACGUAGGGUGCAAGCGUUAUCCGGAAUUAUUGGGCGUAAAGAGCUCGUAGGCGGUUUGUCGCGUCUGCUGUGAAAACCCGAGGCUCAACCUCGGGCCUGCAGUGGGUACGGGCAAACUAGAGUGCGGUAGGGGAGAUUGGAAUUCCUGGUGUAGCGGUGGAAUGCGCAGAUAUCAGGAGGAACACCGAUGGCGAAGGCAGAUCUCUGGGCCGUAACUGACGCUGAGGAGCGAAAGCGUGGGGAGCGAACAGGAUUAGAUACCCUGGUAGUCCACGCCGUAAACGUUGGGCGCUAGAUGUGGGGACCAUUCCACGGUUUCCGUGUCGCAGCUAACGCAUUAAGCGCCCCGCCUGGGGGAGUACGGCCGCAAGGCUAAAACUUAAAUGAAUUGACGGGGUCAUAGCUGUUUCCU
rnacentral:rRNA from 1 species